AGCCUAUAUAUAAGGCUCGCGCUUGUCUUCUCACUUUCCAAAAAUUCCAAACAAAGAGAGGGGGAGAGAGUGGGCAGGGAAAUCAGAAAAUUGGGGGAUGAAUUCAAUUUUUGCUUAGAGGAUCGCUUACUUUUCCAGCAAUGAAGAAAGAUUUUUGAGGAGAAACGCUUUCAGAUGAGUAUUAUUUCUUUACUGUUUCUUUGUUUUCCCCCCUUCUUGGGGAUGAGAUUCUUCAGGUUUCGUGCUUUCUUGUUGCAUAAUCUUCUUCAAGUUCCCUGCUUUCUUGCUGCAUAUAACCGAUUUAUCUGUUAUUUGCAUUCAAUUAUGACUUAAAGCCAAAUUAUUUGUGAACUUGUCCCUGUGCAUGGGUUCUGUUUUAAGGGAGAUUUAGACAUUCUUUGUUUUAUGUUGAAGCACUUUGAAAAUCAAAAAAGAAAGACAAAAAGCAAUUGGAUGCCAGUUAUUUCUAUAGAAGUUAAAUGGCGUUAAAUUGAUCACCAGUUCUUUGCACAUGUUUAUAUCAUGCUUGAAACCUGCUCUGAUAAAGAAAAAAAAGAAAAAGAAAAAGAAAAAGAAGCCAGUAGAUGAUUGACUAGAUAUUUUGGCCUCAGAUAAUAUAGGUGAUUGAAUCACAAACUCCCAGUAGUUUGAAUACUAUUCCAUCUGUCCUUUGUGGCUUAUUUUAUCUGCUCGUAUCCCUAUUCAUUUGAUGGGUUAUGGGUCCUUUUUUUUGUAAGCCGCAAAGGGAUAGAAGAUAUAUGUCUAAACCAUAUGGAGUUUUUGAGUCACGCAACUAGAUUAUCCAGGGCAAAAAAUACUAGUGAAUACUUAUUGCUCACUUUUAGCACUUUGAUUAGUUUACUUUAGAUUUUCUGUUGCGUGGUCUGUUUACAUUGUUGAAUUAUGCAAUUUAUCUUUUCUUGCUUGUUUUUGCAUCAGCUGUCUUUGGUUAUGCAAGAAGUACUUAUUGAAAGACAUGUAGCUUAGUUUCAGUUAUGCUGCCUAGGCAUGUUCUGUAGUAAUUUGCCUAUUGAAUGAUGGUAUUCCUUUUUGUUAUAUUUUGGAUGGUACCUAACUGAUGUUGAUGCUUAGAUGGAAAUUCUCAAAAAAAAAAAAACAAAGAAAGAAAAAGAAAACAGACUUGUCUCAGUUACUAAAGACUUAGAAUUGAUUGCUGAUAGUUUCUUUUGUUGUUGAAUGGCAAUAAAUUGUUGCUUUCCCUCAUUAGGCUUUGAUUUUUCGCUCGUGAGAAUGCACAUGACCCACUUUUGGUUUCUUUAUAUUCCAUCAGCCUUCAUUUUGAGCUACAGGUACUCUUUUGUAAGUUACAAGGGUUAGAAAAUAUAUUGUCAUACUUUCUUUGAUAUAGCUUCUGAAAGUCAUUUUGCUAGGAGGAAAUUUCAGCUUCCUGUCACCCAAGAGGGAUGGGCCUUUCCAUUUAUGAUUUCCUGUCAUUUGGUCUGAUUUUCCUUUUCACCAUUCUUCAAUUUUUUUGUUGGAAUUAUUACUCUGCUCGUGCUUCUGUCUAUGGGUUACAUGUCUUAGGCAAAGCCCCCAUUUUAGGUGCUAUCCAUUUUCCCUUUUAUUGCUUAUCUUAUCCUCUUGUCCAGUUCAUGGAGUAUGAGUAAUUGCCAAAGAUGCAAUGGAGUAGAAUAGCAUUUCACAAAGUGGUAUACAAAAAGUGUUAGUUGACCCAUGAUGUCCUUCGAAUAGUCUAAACACAUAAAAUGAACUCUUUGGACCCAAAUAACAUCAAUCACAAAUUUGCUUCCUUAAUUCUUAGAUUGAAAAUCUGGUUCUAAUGAAAGCCAUUUAUUUAUUACUAUCCAUGGCACCAUCUUCAGUGCUAGAGCAGCCAAUUGCGCAUGCCUAUCUCCUUUUUUUCUGGGAUUUAAAAUCCUGCAAUUUUUUGGCCCCUCAUUACUGCAAGCAUUUCUGACUUAGUCCCAGUAGGUUCAUUAGUCUAUAUCAACUCUCUACAACCACCUCACAGUUAGAUUUCAAAUUUUCUAGCGUGAUUUUCGAUUCUCUCCACUGGGUUUCGUUCUCAUAUGGUAUUGGCAUAAUUCAAAAAUAUAUGUGGAGUACGUUGUGACUGAUUGUGCAGUUUAUUUCAGACUUCAAUUUGAAAAUGAUUAAAAUCAAUAGAAAUAUUAGUCAAAGUGCUUAAAGUAGGCUACAAGUCAUUAUUUCCUAAACUUUUUUUGCCUCAAAUAGUGUCAUUGCAUGACUGAAGACCUCUUAUGGUUUAAAUGACGUGUCGUUGGCCCUAUAUGGCUUAUUUUAUCUACUCAUUUUCAAUAGGGAAUGGGUUCUUUUUUUGUAAGCCAAAAAGGGAUAGAUGGUACCAUAUGGAGUUUUUGAGUCAUGCAAGUACACUAUUUGUGGCCAAAAUUCUUAAGUGAAUGAUUUACUUGUUGCCUACAUUAAAAUCUCUGACUAAUACUUCUGAUGAUUUUAGACAUUUUGAGACUGAAGAACGAAACAAAACUGCACAAUCAGUCCUUUGAGCUCAGUUAUAUUUUUUAUCUAUGCUGCUUAUCAUUAGAGAUUGAAACCCAACAGAGAUAAUCCUAAAUCGCAUUAGAAAAUUUUGAUUCUAAUGUAGAAAUGGCUGUAGAUUUUUAAUGGAGACUAAUGAACUUAAUGGAAAGCAUUGGGUGAUGCUUAGGGUAGUGAUGGACAAAAAAGGGCAGGAUUUUAAUUUUCAGAAAAGAGAAAAUACGUAUGCAAUUAACUCCUCUAGCAUUCCUGUGGGUGCCAUGGGUAGAGAACUGAAGGCUUUCAUUAGAACUAAAGUUUCAAUUCUGAGAAUCUAGAAUGCAAUUUUGUUUUUGAUGUUGUUUGGGUCUAAAGAAUUCAUUCCUAUGUGUUUAAACUCUUGGAAAGACUUCAUUCGUCAACUGCUUAGGCCUUUGUAUGCUUCUUAUGUAAGGGUAUUGUAAUUUAGGAUUUAAAUUGAAUAUGAUAUGAGGGACUAAAGUUACAUCUUUUUGGAUUCUUAGAUCUAUUUGGUUCUAUCAAAUCUAGAUGAGUUACUCCAAUUCUAUUUUAUGGGUCUGUUACAAGCUUAAAAUGUUAUCAAUAGAUUUUAUUGUAAAUAAGUAGUACUGUGGUGAAAUAAAUAUAGAAAAGAAAAAGGUUAAUUAGGAACUGAAAGUGAGCUUUUUAGAAAUUCCAGACAUUUACAAGAAAGCAUAUCGCACUAAGUUUCAUUUAGAGGUUGUUCUCGAUUAUUCGACAAGGUUUAAGGCAAAGAGUACGGAAAACAUGCAAAGGUUAGUAAGAAGUUAGGUGAAUUGGGUAGAGUCAUACUCUCUGCUAGCAUAUGUAGGACUCUCAUAUAAGGAUUUUGCACUUUGAUGUAUGAAUUGAAUAUUCAAGUGGUGACAGGGGGAGCAACGUAUAUAUGCAUCUUGUUGCAAAGUGAUUGAGUUUCUUGAAAUUGAUUUGUGGAUUGUGAAUUAUUUGGAAUAUCGCCUAUGAAUUUUAUGCUGAUUAGUAGUGCUCUUGUUAAAUAUGUGGAGAACAGGAAAAAAAAAGGUUAUUUAGAACAGAAACAUAAGUUCGAGAAAUCCCAAGAAUUUCCCAAGUGUAUUGCCACAAGGUUCAUUUGGACCUCUUUUAGCAUUCUAUAAGACUUAGAUAACCAGAACAUUCCAAGUUCAGUUAGAAGUUUGCUGUUUUUUGCAGAGUUUGGUUCCUUUGCAGGCGUUUAGAGGACUGGUAAACAAGGAUGUUGCACUUUGGGAUCUGAUUGAAGGUCCAGAUGUGACACGAGGAACUGAGUGUCGCAUCUUUUGGAUUCUGUCUAAUUUAGAGAGGGGGAGAGAGAAAGGGCAGAAAGGUUCAUGUGAAGAGAAUUGCUUUCUUUUCCUGCGGUGGAGAAAGAUUUUUGAGGAGCAACGCUUUCAGAUGAGUAUUAUUUCUUUAGUGUUUCUUUUUCCCCCGUUCUUGUAGAUUAGAUUCUUUUGAGUUCUAUGCUUGCUUGCUGCAUAUAACUGAUUCAUCUGUUAUUUGAUAUCAAUUAUGACUUAAUCCCAAAUUAUUUGUGAAUAUUGUCCCUGUACAUGAGUUUGCAUAUAGUAGCUGUAGACCACGAUUUAUGGAUUCUUGCUUCCUACUGAGUCCCGAUGGUGUAGAUUGCUGUUUUUUUAAUUUGUUUAACUCUGGUUUUUGCAUGUUAGAAGCUGAAGGUCUUAGGAAUUUUCCUAUGUGCCUCUUCAUUUUGUUCUGUUUUAAGGGAGAUCUAGACAAUCUUUGUUUUUGUUUUGAAGCACUUUGAAACUAAAAAAUAGAAAGACAAAAAUGAAUUGAUUACCAGUUAUUUCUAUAGAAGCUAAAUAGCAUAAAAUUGAUCACCAGUUAUUUGUACAUGUUUAUGUCAUGCUUCAAGGCUUUAGAGUACUUAUAUGGAAUUCUGUAUUCUAAUUUUUUUUAUUCUCUCAUUUGGGUUUUAAUAUCUGAUGAUAAAUGGCAUGAUUAGAAACAUCAAUUGAGCUUGAAAACUGCUUGCAUGUAUAUCAUGUUUCAUACUCUGAUAAAGAAUAAAAAAAGAAAAGAAGCCAGUAGAUGAUUGACUGGAUAUUUUGGCCUCAGAUAGUGUAGGUGAUUAAAUCACAAACUCCCGGUAGUUUGAAUACUAUUCCAUCUGCCCUUUAUGGCUUAUUUUAUCUACUCGUAUGCCUAUUCAUUUGAUGGGUUAUGGGUCUUUUUUUUUUGUAAGCUGCAAAGGGAUAGAAGGCAUAAGUUUAAACCACUUGGGAGUUUUUGAGUCAUGCAACUAGAGUAUCCUGGGCAAAAAAUAUUAGUGAAUGCUUAUUAUUGCUUACUUUUAAAACAUUGAUUAGUUUACUUUAGAUUUUCUGUUGUGUGGUCUAUUUACGCUAUUGAAUUAUACAUUUUGUCUUUUCUUGCUUGUUUUUGCAGCAGCUGUCUUUGGUUAUGCUGGAAAUUCUUAUUGAAAGACGACAUGUUGCUUAGUUUCAGUUAUGCUGCCUACGCAUCUUCUGUAUUACUUUGCCUAUUGAAUGAUGGUAUUCCUUUCUGUUAUAUGUUGGAUAAUACCUAACUGGUGUUAUCCUAUAUUUUGGUCCGAUUUUCCUUUUCACCUUUCUUCACUUUUUUUUUCCUUUUCUUUUGGAGUCAUUACUGUGCUUGUGCUUCAGUUUUUUGGGUUACAUGUCUUUGGUAAAGCCCCAUUUAUAUAGGCGCUAUCCCUUUUUCCCUUUUAUGGCUUAUCUUAUCUUCUUUGUAUUUUCUCGACUUGGGUAUGAGUAUUUUGCAGAAGACGCUCGGGAAUCAUUCUGGCUUUGACGUUUUCUAUG